GGGAGGUACUUGGACAAUGGGGCGAACCCUCGAUCCAGUGACGCCGCGUGUGUGAAGAAGGCCUGCGGGUUGUAAAGCACUUUUAGUGGGAUGAAAUGUGCAGGGUUAAUACCUCUGCAUUUUGACCUAACCCACAGAAAAGCACCGGCUAACUCUGUGCCAGCAGCCGCGGUAAUACAGAGGGUGCAAGCGUUAAUCGGAAUUACUGGGCGUAAAGCGUGCGCAGACGGUUACAUAAGUCGGGUGUGAAAGCCCCGGGCUCAACCUGGGAAUUGCAUUCGAGACUGCGUAGCUAGGGUACGGAAGAGGGAAGCGGAAUUUCAGGUGUAGCGGUGAAAUGCGUAGAUAUCUGAAGGAACACCAGUGGCGAAAGCGGCUUUCCUGGUCCAGUACCGACGUUCAUGCACGAAAAGCGUGGGGAGCAAACA
rnacentral:rRNA from 1 species